CGUAUCACCCAAGACAACUUUACGGAGUUGACGAUUGACGGAGCGAAGCGACGUCAAAGCGUUCAUUAAAGUCGAGUUGGCUUAGGGAUACGUUCGUUGGGUAGGGGAGCGUUCUGUAAGCCUGUGAAGGUGUGUCGUGAGGCAUGCUGGAGGUAUCAGAAGUGCGAAUGCUGACAUAAGUAACGAUAAAGCGGGUGAAAAGCCCGCUCGCCGGAAGACCAAGGGUUCCUGUCCAACGUUAAUCGGGGCAGGGUGAGUCGACCCCUAAGGCGAGGCCGAAAGGCGUAGUCGAUGGGAAACGGGUUAAUAUUCCCGUACUUGGUGUUACUGCGAAGGGGGGACGGAGAAGGCUAUGUUGGCCGGGCGACGGUUGUCCCGGUUUAAGCGUGUAGGUGUGUGUUCCAGGUAAAUCCGGUUCACUUUAACACUGAGGCGUGACGACGAGGCACU
rnacentral:rRNA from 1 species